GAUGAACGCUGGCGGCGUGCCUAAUACAUGCAAGUCGAGCGAACAGACGAGGAGCUUGCUCCUUCGACGUUAGCGGCGGACGGGUGAGUAACACGUAGGUAACCUACCUAUAAGACUGGGAUAACUUCGGGAAACCGGAGCUAAUACCGGAUAAUAUUUCGAACCGCAUGGUUCGAUAGUGAAAGAUGGCUUUGCUAUCACUUAUAGAUGGACCUGCGCCGUAUUAGCUAGUUGGUAAGGUAACGGCUUACCAAGGCAACGAUACGUAGCCGACCUGAGAGGGUGAUCGGCCACACUGGAGCUGAGACACGGUCCAGACUCCUACGGGAGGCAGCAGUAGGGAAUCUGACGCAAUGGGCGAAAGCCUGACGGAGCAACGCCGCGUGAGUGAUGAAGGUCUUCGGAUCGUAAAACUCUGUUAUUAGGGAAGAACAAACGUGUAAGUAACUGUGCACGUCUUGACGGUACCUAAUCAGAAAGCCACGGCUAACUACGUG
rnacentral:rRNA from 1 species